rnacentral:rRNA from 1 species
CCCCUAGAUGUUCUGGGCCGCACGCGCGCUACACUGAACAGUUCAACAAGUCUUAACCUUGGCCGAUAGGUCUGGGUAAUCUUUGAACGCUGUUCGUGAUUGGGAUAGACCUUUGCAAUUAUGGGUCUUCAACGAGGAAUUCCUAGUAAACGCAAGUCAUCAGCUUGCAUUGAUUACGUCCCUGCCCUUUGUACACACCGCCCGUCGCACCUACCGAUUGAAUGGUCCGGUGAGACUUUCGGACCAUGGCAACGUUGCUUCAUUGGAGCGUCGCCGUGGGAAGUCAUUCAAACCUUACCAUUUAGAGGAAGGUGAAGUCGUANCA